UGGGGAAUUUUGGACAAUGGGCGAAAGUGUGAUAACAGCGACGCCGCGUGAAGGACGAAGGUUUUUGGAUCGUAAACUUCUUUUGCAGGGGACGAAAGCGCGCAAGCGUUUGACGGUACUCUGCGAAUAAGCCACGGCUACUACGUGCCAGCACCGGGGGAAAAA
rnacentral:rRNA from 1 species